rnacentral:rRNA from 1 species
UACGGAGGGGGCUAGCGUUGUCCGGAAUCAUUGGGCGUAAAGAGCGUGUAGGCGGUCCGGUAAGUCCGCUGUGAAAGUCGGGGGCUCAACCCUCGAAUGCCGGUGGAUACUGUCGGGCUAGAGUGCGGAAGAGGCGAGUGGAAUUCCUGGUGUAGCGGUGAAAUGCGCAGAUAUCAGGAGGAACACCUAUUGCGAAGGCAGCUCGCUGGGACGUAACUGACGCUGAGACGCGAAAGCGUGGGGAGCAAACAGG